rnacentral:tRNA from 1 species
GGGCGAUUAACUCAGUUGGUCAGAGUGCCAUCUUCACACGGUGGAAGUCGGCAGUUCAAAUCUGCCAUCGCCCACCA